rfam:Oceanospirillum sp. MED92 scf_1099521380394 genomic scaffold, whole genome shotgun sequence.
UGCGGGGUGGAGCAGCUUGGUAGCUCGUCGGGCUCAUAACCCGAAGGUCGUUGGUUCAAAUCCAGCCCCCGCUA